rnacentral:misc_RNA from 1 species
UUGAAUCCUUAGGAUGUCGCUGGCCUUUUGCAAAAAAGGCAUGUGCACUCCGCCUUUCAAUCCACCUGUGCACUUAUUGUAGGUUGUAAGGGGAAACCCUUUCAAUCUGCGUAUUUUUACACACUAUAUGUAUCAGAAUGUAACUUAGUAGACCUUGUGGUCGAAAACCUAAUA